GCCGCAUUCGCUCAGUUGGCAGAGCAGAUGAUUUGUAAUCGUCAGGUCGUGGGUUUGAGUCCCCCAUGCGGCUCCA
rnacentral:tRNA from 1 species